CGGAGCGCCAGACGAGGCGGUUCACUGAAAACCACUUAGCAUCUGAGGCCCAAUUAACUUGUUAGAUCAAGCGCGAACCUAGAAACAACAUCUCUUUUUUUUGUUACCACCCUUUUUUUUUUUGUUCCUGUUGUUUGAGUUCGCGAGUUUUUCACUUUGGAGAAAUGACAAUCUAUGGCCUGUUGGUGCAGAUCAUAAUCGUUUGUAAUUAGCUGCCUGAAGAGUCCCAGAUCCGAGGAGCCGAACAGCAGCGAAAUGGCACCGCCCCAAGAGCAACCAGAGGAUGACAUUAUCACCAAGAUACCCUCGAUAAUUGGAUUCCUGAACUUGGACUGACUGCCGGCGAAUGAAGCUUUGGCCACCCAAUUCGAUGAUCUGACCUAGAGAGCCAAGGCUGAAGCGCUGAAUCAUGAGAAUUAUAGCUAGAAAUCUUUGUCAUAGUUUUACGAUUAAGAAAUGGAGCAAGACAAGCACAAAUAAACGAGCAAUAUAAAUUA